rnacentral:rRNA from 1 species
GAUGAACGCUAGCGGGAGGCCUAACACAUGCAAGCCGAGCGGUAUUUCUUCUUUGGGAGAGAGAGAGCGGCGUACGGGUGCGGAACACGUGUGCAACCUGCCUUUAUCUAGAGGAUAGCCUUUCGAAAGGAAGAUUAAUACUCUAUAAUAUAUUAAUUGGCAUCAAUUGAUAUUGGAAACUCCGGUGGAUAGAGAUGGGCACGCGCAAGAUUAGCUAGUUGGUGAGGUAACGGCUCACCAAGGCAAUGAUCUUUAGGGGGCCUGAGAGGGUGAUCCCCCACACUGGUACUGAGACACGGACCAGACUCCUACGGGAGGCAGCAGUGAGGAAUAUUGGUCAAUGGGUGCAAGCCUGAACCAGCCAUCCCGCGUGAAGGAUUAAGGUCCUAUGGAUUGUAAACUUCUUUUGUAUAGGGAUAAACCUACCCUCGUGAGGGUAGCUGAAGGUACUAUACGAAUAAGCACCGGCUAACUCCGUGCCAGCCGCCGCAGUAA